rnacentral:tRNA from 1 species
AGGAUAAUAGUUUAAUUAAAACAUUUAAAUUGCAUUUAAAAAAUAUAAACCUAUUUAUCUUA